UACGAGGGGGGCGAGCGUUGCUCGGAAUGACUGGGCGUAAAGGGCGCGUAGGCGGCUUGUACAGUCAGAUGUGAAAUUCCUGGGCUCAACCUGGGGGCUGCAUUUGAUACGUAUGGGCUUGAGUGGGGAAGAGGGUCGUGGAAUUCCCAGUGUAGAGGUGAAAUUCGUAGAUAUUGGGAAGAACACCGGUGGCGAAGGCGGCGACCUGGUCCUUGACUGACGCUGAGGCGCGAAAGCGUGGGGAGCAAACAGG
rnacentral:rRNA from 1 species